ensembl:misc_RNA 7SK 7SK RNA
GGGUGUGUGGGUGACUGGGCUGUGACAUCUGUCACUACAUUGAUUGCCCAGGUUGAUCUGCUUGUGUUGGCCAGGCAGGUGUCCCCUUCUUCCGUGCCUCGUGCGCCAUUUCCUGAGCUGCACACUCUGCUGAAGAGGAGCCCACCAAGGAUAUGAGACUGUGCUCCCAUGAGGACCUCCAAACAAGCUCUCAAAUAGACUUUGGUUUUUGUUU